rnacentral:lncRNA from 1 species
ACACUAGAGAAAACGAGAGAAGGGUCGAGAGAGACCGAGAGGAUAAGAGAAGGAAAGAAAGAGAGAAAAAUAAAGGAGAAAAGAAGAAGAAGAAGAUGGGUUUAAGCUAAGGGUUCUCAACUUAUUCAAUUUCUCUUUUGAUUUAGAAUGGUAAGUAUUGAGUAUAUUGAAUUAAUUUUUUUAAGAGUUAUGGGAAACUUGCUUUAAUUCGAAGUUUGGCAAGAAUCAUGUGUUAUUGAUAUGUAUUUGAUGUUAUAAAUAAGGAUAUAGCAAAGAAAUGUUUAUUUGGAUGUUGAUGUUGAAGAAAGUGGAAACUUUGGAAAUGGGUUUGUGAGAUAAAGGCAUAUUCUUUGAAAUUCUUGUGAUUAUAUGAUGCUAAACACUUAAAUUAAGGAUUUGAGGUUGAAAUUCUCCAAUUUUUCAGCCAUUUUCGAGCAAUUGUAGUAUAGGUGCUAUUUUGAAAUUCUGUCAAGAUAAGCGCUAUUUCUAUCCAUGAUUUCGGUGACAGGUUUUAAUAUAUAGACAUUGGUGCUAGUUUUCAAUAUUCUAGAAUUAUAGUUCUAGUUUUGUAAAUCAUCUAAUUUUGGCGGAUUUUUAAUAUUUGAAACCAAAUUAAGUGUUCAAUAUUUGAGGUUUUUGGUGUUAAAAUAUUUUAUAUAAAGGAGUAUAUGUUGUUAGUGACCUUAAUUGGGAUUAUGAAGUUGAAAAUAAAAUAUAUCAAGUUCCCAUUGGUAAAUUCAUAUUUCUAAUGGUAGAAAAAUACUCAAAGCUUCUCUAUGGAGGGAUAUGAUUUAUUGUAGCGAGAGCGUGAUAACAUUCUUAGUAUUGAAAGUGAGGAGGCGACGAGAAGAUCGAAACAAUGAUCAACUAUGACUUGAUGAGUGGAUAUAAACUUAUUUUUCAAAAAAUGGUAUUUAUAAAAAUUAUAUUAAAUCAGAAAAUUUAUUAAUUCAUACAGUUGAUUUGACAGCACGAUUUUUAGAAUAAAGUUGAUUUAUAAACAAUUGUUUUUAAAGUAAAAUUCAGUUCAGUUAAAUCAUUUGAUUGGCCUAUUAUUUCAGUAUUAAAUAGUUCAGUAUAUUUAAAGUUAUUUCUAAAAACCACCAGAAAGUACCUAUGUGAUUUUACCCCAGUCUGCACUGGUGUGAAUGUAUUUCCAUGGUGUAUAACUACUUAUGGUGAUUUUACCUGCUCUGCACUAUUGUGAACGUGUUUCCAUAGUGUAUAACCAGAUUAUCAGAGGUAAUUGGGACCCACUCUCGUACACAUAUAGGCUUUGGGUUGUGUACUAGGUGAUUAGUCUUUGGGGUACCUCUGCAUACGUAUGACCAGAUUAUCAGAAUGUCAGAUUUGAAUGACUUUACCUUGUACAUCGAGAUUACUCUGUACGUGAGUAAGGAUAUUCCUUGGGUACCUUUUUGGUGUGAUUUUUCAGUAUUUCUUCAGCUUAUCAGAUUUCAGAUUAUAGAAUUCAGUUUAUUUAAUUCUCUGAUUAAAGCUUUCAGCUUAUAGUAUUGAGCAGCAGCAACAUUUCACAGAUUUUCAUGGAUGUCAUAUUAUUUGUAUUCGUUAUAUUUUACCGUUACUUAUCUAGAAUGAAGAACAAAGAAUUUUAUGAUGUAUUCAUGUUUGAUUUUAAAAGUGUUACCAGAUUUCAGAAUUUCUAGAAGUUUUAGUAGUGCAAGAAUUUUCAGAAAAUAUGCAUAAAUGAGAAAAGUUUACUUAUUUGAAAAUUAUCCACUCACUGAGCUUUAAGCUCAUAUUUUUUCACCUUUUUCUUUAUCAAACAGAUAGCAGCCGAAUUGAGCAGCUUUUGAGCCUGUCGAACCACCAAAUUGAGCCACGUGUCAUAGGUUGUAUGACAUCCUUCAUCAGAUUAUACAUUAUGUGUUCUUUUGGGAUACAUGUAGCUUAAAUCAGAAAAGUUCAUUAUGAGCUCAUUGGAUAGUUGGUAUCUUUAGUAUAUUUGAGGAUUGUUGAGUGUAAAGCAAGUAAAUGUCGAUUUGCCAACAUUUUGUUUGAAUAAUUUGUAUUUUAAGAGACUGUCUUACCCUAUUCAUAUUAUGGGUAUUGAUUUGAGGAAAAUUGGUUAUUGUUCA